GGAAGGAACACAAACACACAAACAGGUGAGUAUAAACAAAGAACGAGUGUCCAGCCGGAGUUCUUGUCGUUUUUCCUUUUUCUUUCUUGCUUUCUUGCUUCCUUGCUUCCUUGAUUUUCAUUUUUUUACCUUUCCGUUCGUUGUGGCUUGUUUGUUUUCGUGUGUGUGUGUAUCUGCUCACCCACCCCCCACCCACACCCACCCGCCCCACUUUCCCUUCUCCUUCUUUCUUACAUCAGCGAGGGAGACGAGCGAACGCGGGAAACAAAGAGAAAAAAGAACGCACACGCGCUUUUCUCCGCGUCUCUUGUCUUUCUGUUUGCGACAUCCGUCGUUGCCGUCGUUGUUGUUGCGGCGUCUUCCAUUCUUUCGUUGCCGUUCUUUUUGUCACCCGUCGUCUGCCACACAGUGACGAAGUAAACACACACACACACACGCACACAACGUGAGAGAGAGGAUACACCCAUCAGCGGUGAAGGGAGAGAGAAGAACGGGCGGUUUCUUCACGUCUAGUUCUCUCUUCUUCGAUUUUUGUGCGUGUGUGUGUGAGGAGAGGAAGGGAGGGGGGCUACAGACUUGUAUCGCCGUCGCUCGCGCUUUCCCAUCCCACACCUCGUUCUCGCUUUCCAUCUCUGUCACUUUCUCUUACUCUCUCGCUUCACCAUCAACCACAUUCUGUGACGCGACUCGUCGCGCAUCUCGCUUUCUAUCUGUUUUUUUUUUGUUGUUGUUUGUUCUCGUCGUGUUGCUUGUCUAUGCUGCGCGCGCGCGUGUUUGUGUGUUUGUUAUGUUUCUAGGUUUUUUUUCCGACGCCGUCUUCCCGCUCAGCGCUUGUUUCUUGUGUGGCACCGCUUGUGCGCCCGACUCUUGGGUCUUUGCUUGUCUUCCAUCACCACCAUCAUCAUCAGUAUCUCCCUUUUCUUUUCGCCUUUUGAACAACAAAAAAAGAAAGAGGGAUUGAUCUCUACAUAUCUCUCUCUAUAUUGUCUAGUGGUGCGCGCGCGUUUCUUGUUGUUGUUGUUCGAUAACGUCUUGUGUGCGCUGGACAUCUCUCCCUUCCACGCCCCGUCCUCCUCCUCCUCCUCCUCCUUGCCCACGAAGCCGUACUUGAUCAACUCACGGACGGCGCGCGUACAAAAGAAGGAGCCAAAGACGAGAAGGGGGAACGAAGAAAAAAACAAAAAGGGAAAAAAGCAAAGACAGCGCUUCCACCUCCCCCCUAAAAAAAAAGAAUACCCCAAGUUGCACGGCUUUUCCAUACCCACACCGACGGCCCGACCCGCCCACUCACUCACAGAUACCCAUAGAAGAGAACGGGAGAACGAACAACAAAAAAGUACACAAAACAAAACAUUACGAGCAGCAGAAACAGCAAGAAAAAAAAAACAGACGUGGCGUCACGGAAACGGGCGAGCGAACGGAAAAAAAGCACAACAACAACGGGAAAAGGGAGGAAGGGAGUGCGUUGACCUUUCCUGCACGCUCGCACACGCACACACGCCGUGCAUGCUCUGUGCCCAAGGGGUUUGGCGGCUCUUCUUCUUCCGAGUGUGGUGCACUCUUUAGUCUCUCUUUCUCCGUGUUCUCUGUAAUACUGUCUCCAAAUCGUAGCCAAGUCACUACUUUUCUUCUUGUUCGUUUCUUCCUGUCUUUUGCGUCCGUUUUUCUUGUUUUGCGCAGCAGCUACGUCGGGUGUAGCUUCACCGAGCUCCCCUCCGUCGCCUCCGCUUGCCCGGCUGCUUAUUCCCCCUCGAGGCCCUUCUUUCUCUGUCUUCUGGUGGUAGGGUGAGUCGACGUCUUAAGUAAGCAACAGCGUCGCACAACCGUGGCAAGUAGAGGGUGACAGCGCACUCAGGACGAGAUUUGAGAGGCGACUGAAAAGCGGUAGCAGAGAGCGGCGCGCAUCACUGCCAACAUCUUUCCCUGCUGUUGCUGUUGCUGCUGCUGUGCUUGCAUCCGUUUCUGUGAUCGAAAUCGAAGUUUGAUCGUUUUCCCUGCUUGUUUGUUUCGCAUCCGUGUCGGAUCACCGCCUUCGCUGUUUUUUCCCUCUCACUUCUGCCCGGCGUAACGAUGCCGAGCAAGCCACAACAGCAGUACAAGACACUCAACGGCACUAGCGGCGGCGCUGGCAAGUCGCCGGCCGCAGCAGCCAAGAGCACGGCGACCACCUCCGCUUCGCCGGCGCCGUCGACACCGCCACCACUGCCCUUCAACUCGAUACCGCACGCCACCUCGGGUGACCGCCUCAUCGGCGUUGAGGUCGGCUCGAGCAUUCCGGCGCUGAUGAGUGAGCUCGGUGACCUGCUGCAGCAGACGCCCGGCAGCGGCAGUGGCGGCGUAGCAGGCGGGCUGUGGCGCGGCCAGAAUGGCGGCCUUCUCUUUGAGCAUCUCGAUGGUGCUGCAGCGUCGCAGAAAGAGGCCGCGGCAGCGCUUUUUGGCGGCAUCGACGCGAACCGUCGCAUCGAGCAAAUUUCGCCCGGCGCACUCGAGCGUCUCUCGCAGGUGUUCAGCAUGCAACAGCGUCAGUCCGGCUUUGCUUCUGCGGCGGCCGGCCUAGUAGCGGCAGCGGGUGCCUCCGCCGCCUUGAAAUGCAGCUCCAGCAGCCGCGGUGGCGUGGCUCCUUCCACGGUCGAGGUGCUGGACGACGACGAGGAUGGCGAUAUGGACUCGGCGAGUGGCAGCAGCACGGCGGCCGAUGAAGUCUUCCGGGCUGUGUACCGCGACAGCGGCUCUGACUGCGAUGCGUCUAGUACGACCGGCCGGCGACACAACUUCGAUGACAUGUUUGAAAUGAUGCAACGUAGCAUCGGCAACUACGCCCGCGGUGGCGGCGGUAGCGCAGGGGACAAGGGAGCGGGCGGCAGCGGUGUCGUCGGCUUAGACCCAUCUGCUUACUCAGAUCCUCUCGCACAACUGGAGCUGUUUCGCGCAAUGAUGGUGGCCACGAGCAAGGGCCGCAGCAGCGGCGGCGGCUCGGCGGCACAAGAAUCCAAGCCCGAUGAUGCCGAGGCCCGUCCGCGAGUUAUCUCUGAGAGCAACUUGCCAAAUCACUUUCGCAACUUCCUCGAUGUCCUCAGCCCGCAGCUGAUCAGCCAGCUUAUGCUGCAGCAGCGAACGGCCAAGGCUGCCAGUGCUGGCGCUGGUGGCGUUGCGGGUGCAGGAAAAACGGGGGAGGCGACAGCAGCUGCCGCUGCUGCUGUGGCGCGUGAAGUGGACAUGGCAGCCAGCGGCGUGGCGAACCUAUCAGACUUGCAGCAGCGUGUGGAGCAGGUACGCGGGCUCAGCAGCAGCACCCUCGAGGCGCUUGCCGAGGGCGAGGUGUCGGACAGCACGUCUGGUAGUCUGCGCGACCUUUUACUUGGUGACUCAGCAGGUGCGGCUGCAUCUGGGGCGGUAUCGGCUGAGCUGGAGCUCAGCAGUGCCAAGGUGGGAUACUGCUUAACCGAGGCCGCCGCCGUCGCGGUGUCGAUGCUGUGGAGCUACCUGGGGAGUCAACAGAAAGAGGCGCCGCUACUUCUCGGCUACACGCGCGAGGAGGCGCAGAACCAAUUCAACCUUCUCCUUUUCCGUCUGCGUCAGGAACUCUUCGCGCAGCCGACUGCGAGCUUGGAGGAGGUGAGCCGCUGCUUCGGUGGCGCUGUGCAGGCGGAUGCCGAGGACAUCUACCGCGCGAUCAACGGCGUGGGCGUGCUUCUCUUCUUCACCUGCAAGCCGCUUCCGCUGCUUGAGAAGACGUGCAGUGAGCUCCGCAUUUCUCUCUCGGACUCGGCCAAUACAGACUGCAACAUCAUGCCGGAGCUGAUCGCCGAGAAGCUGGCGGCGUUCCUGUACCCGAUGAAGGAGGGGAAGCUGUCUUUUGCGCAUCUCAGCUUUAUCCCUCGCCUGCAGGUGCACGAGCACGCACCGGGCAACUACACGUGCACGAUCGACAACGCCAGCAACAUGGGGCGCAUGCUGCGCGAGCGGUUGCUCAGCAACCGCUUCAGCUGCAACAAGAUCAAGUGGCGCGCUGCUCUGAUGAACGACAAGGGCAAGCUGAAGUUCCAGGUGUGGCACCGUCACGCGACACCGCUCUCCGUCCACUUUAUCGUUCGAACAUCGGAGCCCAAGAAAAAAAAGAAGAGCGGCUGUGGCAACGCCGGUGUGAACGGCGCAGCGGGGGAAGAGAAGGAUGCGGGUGCGGCAAGCGCCGUCGAGGAUCUGCGCGCCAACUCCGCUCUCUUCGUGGAGCAGCAGCUGACAGCCGCACCAGGCGAGAUGGUGGGGUUCACGCAUGACUUCAUUGAGCUCACCGUCGCACUCAGCUCGCCAACUACUUUACAGCAUGGAUACCGCACGUACAACAAGGCCGACGAUCGACUUGUGUUCCAGUUCUCGCUGCAGCUGAGCAACGUGGACGGGGGACCGCUGGAUGGGGCCGCGGCAGCGAACGCGGGCAAUAAGGUGCCAGUGAAACAGGCAAACGAAGAUCAGGAGCCGAGUUUGAGCGGGUCGACCGAGGGCAAGACGGACGGCGGGGAGUCGAAGGACGACCCGGACGCGGAGCUGCACGCGGCAAUGCGUCGUGUCAGCGACAGCGAAACAGCCGCGCGCGCCGUCAUCGAAGAGACAGCGAAGUGGGACUACCGUCACCUGCAGAACGACGAGUGCCGCGAGGCUCACUGCGCGCGCCAGCGUACAGAGGACCGGGAACGCAAGGCGCUGCUGGCGAAGGUGGGACCGACUCCUGAGUUGAUCAGAGAGGUGGACAAGCUAAGUCAAUCCGUGCAAGCCGCACAGCAGCAGAUCGCUAAGCUCAACAAGGAGAGGAGCAAGGAUGAGAAGGAGGGCGAAAAGACGGCGGAGAAGCUGGCGCAGCACCAGGCAGAGCUGUCGUCGCUGCUGAGCUCGCUGGAGUCUGGCGAGGCAGAGCUGUCGAGGCUGGAGGCGGAGAUGAAGGCGGCCGAGGCGCGUAUUGUCGAAAAGCGCGCGCGGCAGGCACGCAAAGAGGCCAAGAAGGCGGAGCAGAGCCAGUGGACGGCCCUGAAGCGUGUGCUGGAGCCGACUUCCUCGACGACGCACCAUGACACCCUCGCCAUCAACGACUUUGGCAGCUUUUUGCAGUCAACGCCGAUUAUGGCGGCCGCGAUGCCGCUGCAGCAACAGCAGGAGCCAGCGGCGUUGCCCACUGCCCCGUCUUCGUCGUCGCUGUUCGGCUCAAGCGCCGGCUGCGGCCCUGGCAUUCCGCCACUCGCAGGUGGCACUGGUGGUCUGGGCGCGUUCGGCACGGACCGCUUUUCUGCGCGUGCGCCGAUGAGCGCGUCACCGGGCACCGGCGUGGCGAACACUACGCCGGUCUUCUCCACGCAGCCAAAGAUGGGCUUGGGCAGCAGCAGCAGUCUCGUGAACACCAACGGCAACACCAGCCCUGGCGUCAACGUUGGGGCGGUUGGUGGCGGACACCCGCAUAUGAAUGGCAUCAGCGGUAGUACACACGGAACCACGCCUUCGCACCCGGGAAGGGUGUCGCCCAUGCUACCGCCUUCGCCUGGGGUGGUGAGCAACGCGUCUGCCGCGAUGGGCAGCCGCAGCAGCCCUGCCUCAGCCGCCGGUGCGCCGAUCGGCAGUCCCGGAAUGCCGCUGUCGGGUGGCAGCGGAGUCUCCGGCAACAUCGGGAUGGGCAGCGGCGGCAGCGGCGGUAACGGCGUCGGCGGGCUUUCCUUCGGGCUCGCACCCUCCCUCUUCAGCACCAACCCUGUCAGCCAUGUCACACACAGCGCAGGAGCAACCGGCACCAACGCGAGCAACACACCGAGAAACCUGUACACUUCUCUGGAUGCUAAUGCGCAGCCCUUCAGCCCUUCACCGCCGCCGACCAUGUCGGCGCCGGGGACCGGCGGUUGCACUACACCCGCGGCGUCGGGCAGUGGGGCCGGAAACGCAAGUGGCAGUCACAGCAACAGCAGCAGCGGUGGUAUCGGCUUCGCCUUCACCGUCACAGCUGGCGCGCAUCCUGGGUUGGUGGGUGGGUCCUCCUCUCCGAUCUACCAGAGCGGCCCCUCCGGCUUCUCCAGCGGCAGUGCUCACGACCUGCCCGGCCACUCACCGUCGCCCUUCUCGACGACGCCCAUGCCCACCCCGGCAGCGAACGGCGUUUAUGGGAUGGGUGGUGGCAAUCACUGCAGCACGCAUGACAUGCAACACCAGCAUGCGCACCAGCCGCAGCACUCAGGCUUGCUGCCACCGCGGCCGCACACUCCCAACGAGCUCUUGAGCUUUUCAACGAGCCUUCAAUGGCGUAACUGAGGAGGGGCAAGCGAGAUGGUCACCAAUGCGGUGUAGAAGACAGCGCGCUGCUCGAGCGCACACUGGCCUGUACCGCCGUCUUUCUUUCUCUUCCGCCUCGCUCGGGAUGCCAGCCUGAGGAGUCUACGUGCUUAGCCGCGUCAUCCAGUAAUGGUGAGAGACGAGCAACAUUUGUAUUUUUAUUUUUGCGGAAGCGGAGGCGGAAGAAGGGCGGCGAUGUCUGCGUGUAGCGCGGGAGACCCGGUCACGCAGAACAACAGGGCGGUGGAAAGAGGCACCGAUAAUACCACGAGGUGGGGGCCAUAUCGCCGGUUUUGGUGAAGGGCGUGGUGCUGUGAGAGAGCACACACAAACACCACACGCACGCACAACCUGUACACGCUGUGGAAGAGCAAGAGGAUCGCAGAAGGAGGAGGAUGCGCGCAUAUGUCUGCCGGCCUGCCUGAGUCUGUACGUUUUUUUUUCUCUUUGUCUUGGCGCUACACACUCUCCUCCCCGCCAAGCCCUCCCGCCACGCCCUCCGCGCACGCUUCACGUGGGUGUACGGUCUCGCUUAGACAUCCUCUUCAUGCACGCAUUUUUGCUCCCCCCCCCUUCACUCCACUGUCGCUGUUUUCGGUUUGCGGGGGCUGGGAGGUGUGGGUAGGGAGGGCUCCGCAACCCACCAGUGGCGCGCAUCAGCGAUGCGCGCGCACACAUACACACAUACACACCCUUCUCUUCCCCCUUGCAGCUCCUCUCGUUUCUGUGGUUCAUGUGACUGCGUGCUUGUCUGACCCCGUUCUUCAUCCCCCUGGUCUCUCGCUCCCUUCUGUCUUCUGUGCUUGGUGUCUCACCACUACCCGCCACCACCACUUCCCCUUGCUAACUUCUCUCGCGCCCUUCCACUUGCCUCUUUCUCUUUCUGUGUGUACCUCUGCCUUCGCGCUCGCUUUCUCGCCCGCUCCGCGGGUCUCACUGCGUCUUUUUUCCUCUUCCAUGAUGGCUGGCGUCGUGGACUCCCUCUUUUUCCGUGCCUUGUGUGCGCUUUCUGUCUGACUCUGCGUGUUUUGUUUCUUUUUUUUUCUUCUCCCCCCCCACACACACGCCCCGGCGGCACUGACUUCUCCUCGUAAGUCCGUCGGUCGGCGAUGCAUGGGCACAAACUCCUCUACGCACGCAUACAAGCAUCACACCAUCCGCUGCAUCAGCACACGCCCUCCUCAACGAGCAACUACGCGCACACAUGCGCAUACUGUGAGGGGCGGAUGCUGAGCUUUUUCGACAUCAUCUCCAGUCAGUCUCUCUCUUUCUCCCUCUGCGCGUGUGCAUGUGUGCUUGACUGCGACUCAGUAUCCUAAUACAUCUCGGUAUAUAUAUAUAUGAGUGCGCACAUGUAUGGGUAUAUUGUAUGCAUGCAUAUGCGUGUGUAAAAAGAGAUAGGUGCACUUUCCCCAGUCCCCGAUUACACGAAAACACCUCCGGUGCGAGCGUGUCUGUCUUCAGCGUAUCUGUUUGUGUGUGUGUAUGCAUGUUGGUAUGUUUGUUUUCAUUUCCACCGUUUUUUACCUUUUCUUUUUGACCUGAAUGAUUAAGAAGCGAAGAAAAAAAAUUAUAUAUAUAUAUAUGCAUUGCAAGAGACUUGCUGUGGACGAACACGCGGGCUCCUCCUCCUCCUCACGAGCAGGUGUGCUCGUGUGCACCGACACCUUUCUCUCUCGACCACUCCGCUCACGCUUCCAUGUGAGAGGGAGCGGUCGAGGCGGGAAGAGAGAUGAGUGAGGCACGGUGUUUCUGUGUGGUUUGUCUCACUCUUUCUGGCGCCGAGGCUUUUGCGAGCCAAAGCCAGGCCAGCACUGUCGUCGCCUUCUCCCUCAUUCGCUGUCGACGCGGCUAGGACUCUCCGUCUGUUGACGUUGAGAACGUGGAACACCCCCCCCCCCCACACACACACGAAAAGAAGCACUCUGUUGUAGCUCUUACUUCAACGAAUCGCCUGUCUUGCCCCCCUCACCCUCCAUAUCUCCUUUCCUUUUUGUUGGCGUGUGUCGAUGCGUGUACGUCUCACUUGUCAUCACGGAUCUCGUAACACCGAAACGAAAG
rnacentral:misc_RNA from 1 species